rnacentral:lncRNA from 10 species
GAGGGAUUGGCCGGGUCUGGGUGAAGGGGAUCACGGCCUGGGGAUUGGAGGGGCACAUCUUCUCCGCACCGAGGAUCUCAGCGACUGCGAGCACGGCUCGGAGACCCACGGUGGUGCAGCGUUGGGGCGCCAGGGCUGCGUUCCCGUCUCGCGUCCCGGACUGAGAAGAAAUACUUUCAGAGCUCUUUCAUUCAUCCUGACAAUGGCCAGAGAAGGUAGGUAUUGGUAGCCUUAUUUUAGAGAUGGGGAAACUGAGGCUGAGAGUAGGUAAGUAAGCUGUCCAAGGGCACUCAGCUAACAAAGGACAGAAGCAAGCCUCCUCACUGUCUACCUCCAAAACCUACACUGGCUUGGAGUUGCUGUCCUGGCCCUCCACUGCCCAUCUCAUGUAGGACGGGAGAGUAUGGGGGGCUGGGGUCCCAUCUAUAGCCUGAAUUUGAGACUUUCAGUUGCUCCUCUCAUUCCCCAUUUAAUUUGUGGGGAUCCCCAACUGACCCCUCCCUACACUUCCAGGGCACUGAGGAGGGAGGGCCCGCUGAAGGAGCCCCGAAUUAUCUCUAGGCCAGGUCAGGAGCCAUUAGUGUCCCCUCCCCUGACAGCAUCCUCCUCCUUCUGCCCUCACAUUCAGAGCCACUGACAAGACUUUAAGCAAGAGACGGAGAGUUAACAUCUAAUCUGGAGGAAGACCCUGGAAGGAGCCAGCCCCUUCCCCCAGGCUGACCUGGUUUAAGCCUUUCUUCUGCCAAGGUCACCAGCACCCCAGAUGGGUGAGAGAUGUGAUCACUGGUUUCGUGGCCUGACCAAGGACCUCCAAGAUGGAGUCUCUCGCUGUUGCCCAGGCUGGAGUGCAGUGGCUCGGUCUCAGCUCACUGCAACCUCCACCUCCCAGGUCCAAGCAAUUAUCCAGUCUCAGCCUCCUCAGUAGCUGGGACCACAGGUGCGUGCCACCACACCCAGCUCAUUUUUGUAUUUUUAGUAGAGACGGGGUUUUGCUAUGUUGACCAAGCUGGUCUCGAACUCCUGACCUCAAGUGAUCCGCCUGCCUCGGCCUCCCAAAGUGCUGGGAUUACAGGCAUGAGGCACCCCGUCCAGCCUGGAAGACUUUUUUUUUUAAUGAAUAAAAACACAUUUUUUUAAAGAAUGGAUUCCCUGAUUCCUCAAUGGCUGUCUCUUUCAAUUGAACAAUAAACCUUUACUUAGCAUCAGCUACAUGCCCAUCACUGUGCUUGGUCCUGCAGAUUCUGUGGCAGAUGAGAAAUGCCUUGGUCCUUGGGCUGCUUGCAGCCUAGCGAGGGACAGACUUUUAACCUCUCUAGGAGAGUGGCUGCUUCAAGUCAUCCUAUGGGACCAGCUGUUCAUGCUUCCUCUUGCCCAGAACUACUUCUGUGAGAGGAAAAGAGAAGGGUAGGAGCGUGCCCUGCAGCUGGAAACCCAAGCCAGGCGGGGAGCCACGAAUGCAGUAGUUAUCAGACUGUAUCUUCAAUCCUGGGGGCUUCUCAAGCCAUUGCCAGCCACUCUUCACCCAAGGCCUGGUGGAAUAAAGCUGGGCUAAGUAACACCUCUUCUGUGGAAAAUUAUUGUUUCUGCAAGCCUAUAUUCAUUCUCCCUCUCUCUCAUGCUGAUCAGAACUGUGAGUUACAAAAAAAAUGAGAAGAUGGAAUCAAUUAUUACGUAGUAAAUUUCAUUUGCUUGGCAGGAGGUAUCUUUCCCAUCUUGGCCCACAGAGGAGGAAAUCCUAGAAGGGAUGACUGAAGCUUGGGACUAACACAUUGGUGGAUCUGUGCUACCCCCUGCUGGCCGUAGACGGUAUGACAGCCAAGAUAGGGCAAGGCUUCGAGGGGCGAUGGAUGGAUUCACCGCAGCGGCGACAUUUCUGGACUGUUGUCACCUUCAGUGCAGUCACUGGGAAUAUUCAGAACCCAGGUGAUUGAUAAGGUUUUCCCAGGGAUCUCUUCUCUCCCCUUCACCAUUACUCAGUAGGAGCUUCCUUAAAAACGGAAAACGAGAGGCCGGGCGCGGUGGCUCACGCCUGUAAUCCCAGCACUUUGGGAGGCGGAGGCGGGCGGAUCACGAGGUCAGGAGAUCGAGACCAUCCUGGCUAACACAACCCCGUCUCUACUUAAAAUACAAAAAAUUAGCCGGGCGUGGUGGCACGCGCCUGUAGUUCCAGCUACUCAGGAGGCUGAGGCAGGAGAAUCGCUUGAACCCGGGAGGCAGAGGAGGUUGCAGUGAGCUGAGAUGGCGCCACUGCACUCCAGCCUGGCCGACUGAGACUCCAUCUCAAAAAAAAAAAAAAAAAAAGGAAAAAGGGGCCGGGCGCGGUGGCUCACGUCUAUAAUCCUAGCACUUUGGGAGACCAAGGCGGGCAGAUCACGAGGUCAGGAAUUUGAGACUAGUGUGGCCAACAUGGUGAAACCCCAUCUCUACUAAAAAUACAAAAAAUUAGCCGGGUGUGGUGGCGCAUGCCUGUAAUCCUAGCUACUCGGGAGGCCGAGGCAGGAGAAUCGCUUGAACCCAGGAGGCCGAGGUUGCAGUGAGCCGAGAUCACGCCAUUGCACUCCAGCCUGGGCGACAGAGCAAGACUCCGUCUUGAGGGAAAAAAAAAAAAAAAAGAAAAAGGGGCCAGGCACCUGUAAUCCCAGCACUUUGGGAGGCUGAGGAGGGAAGAUCGCUAAAACCCAGGAGUUCAAGACCAGCCUGGGCAACAUGGUGAGACCCCAUCUCUACAAAAAAUGCAAAAAAAAAAAAAACAAAAACAAAAAAAAAAACAGCUGGGCAUGAUGGUGCGCACCUGUAGUCCCAGCUACUCGGGAGGCUGAGGUGGGAGGAUUAUUUGAGCCUGAGAGGUCAAGGCUGCAGUGAGCCAAGAUCGCAUCACUGCACUCUAGCCUGGGUAACAGAGCAAGACCCUGCCUCAAAAAAAAAAAAAAAAAAGGAAAAAGGUUAUUACACAGUUCAAAAGAGAAACAAAGUGCAAAAGCAUGUGCAAAGAAAGUAAAGUCCCUCCUGGCCAAGUGCGAUGGCUCAAGCCUGUAAUCUCAACACCCUGGGAGGCUGAAGUGGGUAGAUCAUUUGAGGUCUGGAGUUUGAGACCAGCCUGGCCAACAUGGUGAAACCCCGUCUCUACUAAAAAUAUAAAAAUUAGCUUGGCGUAGUGGCGGGUGCCUGUAAUCCCAGGUACUCGGGAGGCUGAGGCAGGAGAAUCACUUGAACUUGGGAGGCGGAGGGUGCCGCGAGCCAAGAUCACGCCAGUGCACUCUAGCCUGGGCAACAGAGCAAGACUCCAUCUCGAAGGAAGGAAGGAAGGAAGGAAGGAAGGAAGGAAGGAAGGAAGGAAGGAAGGAAGGAAGGGGAAAGAAAGGAAAGAUCUCUUGCCAAUCAGCCUCCCUGUUGCCCUGUUUCCCAUUCCCUCCCCAGAGGCAACCACUCUUAACAGUUUUUUUGUUUUUGUUUUUGUUUUUUUUUAGACAGAGUCUCACUCUGUUGCCCAGGCGGCUGGAGUGCAGUGGUGUGAUCUCAGCUCACUGCGACCUCCGCUUCCCAGAUUCAAGCAAUUCUCCUGCCUCAGCCUCCUGAGUAGCUGGGACUACAGGUGUGUGCCACCACGUUCAGCUAAUUUUUGUAUUUUUAGUAGAGACGGGGUUUCACCAUGUUGGCCAGGCUGGUCUUGAACUCCUGACCUCAAGUGAUCCACCCGCCUUGGCCUCCCAAAGUGCUGGGAUUACAGGUGUGAGCCACCGCGCCUGGCCUCUUAACAGUUCUAAUGUAUCUUUGCAGAGCUAUUUGGAGCAUAUGCUGUGUAUAUGUGCGUGUGUGUGUGACACAAAUGAUAGCACACGCUCUACACUGUUCAGCACCUGCUAUUUUCAUGUCAUAAUAUACCUGCCUGUAGAUAGUCAACAUAGUUUUCCAUCGUAUGGUGUGUCACAAUUUAUUUACCAUUCCCCUCCUAGUGGAUAUUUAUGUAUGUCCGCCUUUUAUUACUACAAACAAUGCUAAUUACAGGAAAUAUCUUGGUACAUAUAUUUGCAGACAUAUGUGUGUGUGUGAAAUAAAUUUAUAAGUAUGGCAAUUCUGGGUCAAAGAUUAUGUGCUCUUAAAUGUUUUAUAGGUUUUCACAGAAUUGCCCUCCAAAAAUUUUGUACCAAUUUACAAUCCCCAACAACGGAUGAGAUCACCUGUUUCCCCAAAUCCUCACAAACAGGUUAAUAUCAGGCCUUUUGAUCUUAGGUGAUGACUCUUUAAAAGUCCUGCUCACAGAGCAGUUGAUGAUCUGUCUUUUUCUUUGGGCCGCGGGUUUCUCCAAGGAAGGGACUGUGUCUUUCUCAUACCUACAUCCCCAGUGAAGGACUUGACACCAUCCUUGGGAGUUACUCAAGAAGUGUCUGCUAAAUAUUGAGUGAAAGAAACAGAGCUGCAUUUUGGCAGGCUGGGAGGGAGAGGGUAAAAGGUUAGGUUUGAACAGGAGGCCUGCUUUUUUUUUUUUUUUUUGAGAUGGAGUCUCACUCUGUUGCCCAGGCUGGAGUGCAGUGGCGCGAUCUCAGCUCACUGCAACCUCCAAGGAGGACUGCUCUUUAGGGCCACUUUCUCUUCCAGACCCUGGUCAAGCCUCUGCCCCAAAUCCAAAAGCCUUCCUCUUGCAGGAGCCUCCCAGGUUGCAAGGUCUGAGGUUGAAGGCCCAGAACUCCCAGUGCAGCUUUCACCCAGCUCUGCUGCAUUCCAGGGAUGGGCCCCAUCAUCCCCAAGCUGCCUGAGAACUGGAAACAAACUAGGUGUCCAGCUUUAGGGGAUCAGUUAAACCACUGUCCUAUAGAACUUUCUGCAAUGAUGAAAAUGUUCUCUAUCUGCCCUGUCCAAUAUGGCAGCCACUGGCCACUCGUAGCUACCGAGUAUUCAAGCUGUAGCUAGUUCAACUAAGGAAAUAAAUAAAUGUUACUUAAUUUUAAUUAAUUUCCAUUUAAGUAGCCAUGUGUGGCUACAUAUUGGACAGUGAAGGGUUCAGUAAAUUAUGAUAUAGCCCCACAAUGGAAAACUAUGCAGCUGUAAAAAAAAAAAAUAAUAAGGAUGCCAAGAAAAAUGGAAAGAUCUUCAGGAUAUAUUUUGAAACAAAAAUGUGGUACAGGCUGUGUGCAGUGGCUCACGCCAAUAAUCCCAGCACUUUGGGAGGCCAAGGUGAGAGGCCGAGGCAGGAGGAUCACUUGAGUCCAGGGGUUCAAGACCAGCCUGGUCAACAUAAUGAGACUUCCGUCUCUACAGAAAGUGAAAAAAAAAAAAAAGACAGCAUGGUGGUAUAUGAAUGUAGUCCCAUCUACUCAGGAAGCUGAGGUGGGAGGAUUGCUUGAGCCAGGGAAGUUGAGGCUGCAGUAAGCUGUGAUUGUGCCACCACACUCCAGCCUGUGUGACAGAGCAAGACCCCAUCUAAAAAAAAAAAAAAAGGCCAGGCACGAUGGCUCACACAUGUAAUCCCAGCACUUUGGGAGGCCGAGGACCGUGGAUCACCUGAGGUUGGGAGCUCAAGACCAGCCUGACCAACAUAGAGAAACCUCAUCUCUACUAAAAACACAAAAUUAGCUGGGUGUGGUGGCACAUGCCUAUAAUCCCAGCUACUCAGAAGACUGAGGCAGAAGAACCACUUGAACCCAGGAGGCGGAGGUUGCGGUGAGCCAAGAUAGUGCCAUUGCACUUCAGCCUGGGUAACAAGAGCGAAACUCUGUCUCAAAAAAAAAAAUGUGGUUCAGAACAGUAUACAUAGUAUGUCAUCUUUUUUGAAAGAAAGGCAGGUAGGCCGGGCGCAGUGGCUCACACCUGUAAUCCCAGCACUUUGGGAGGCCGAGGUGGGCGGAUCACGAGGUCAGGAGAUUGAGACCAUCCUGGCUAACGCGGUGAAACCCUGUCUCUACUAAAAAUACAAAAAAUUAGCCGGGCGUAGGUGGUGCACUCCUGUAGUCCCAGCUACUCGGGAGGCUGAGGCAGGAGAAUGGCGUAAAACCCGGGAGGCUGAGCUUGCAGUGAGCCAAGAUCGCGCCACUGUACUUCAGCCUGGGAGACAGAGCGAGAUUCCGUCUCAAAAAAUAAAAAAAAAAGAAAAAGAAAGGCAGGUAGAGGAGGCUGGAUGUGGUGGCUCAUGCCUGUAAUACCAGCACUUUGGGAGGCCAAGGGGGACAGAUCACUUGCAGAAAUGUGAGACCGGCCUGGACAACAUGGUGAAACCCCAUCUCUACACAAAAUACAAAAAUUAGUUGGACGUGGUAGUGCGCACCUGUAGUCCCAGCUACUCAGGAGGCUAAAGUGGGAGGGUUGCUUGAGCUGGGGAAGUCAAGGCUGCAGUGAGCCAAGAUUGCACCACUGCACUCCAGCAGGGGUGACAGAGGGAGACAGCAGGAGUGACAGAGUGAGACCCUGUCUCAAAAAAAAAAAGAAAAGAGCUUUGCACAGUGGUAGUAUCGUAGCCAAUGAAUGAAAGGGAGGUGGAAAUAAAAAUAAAUGUUUAUAUUUGCUUGAAUUUGCAUAGGGAAAGCAAUAACAGUGGGUGACCUAUAGGGAGCUGGGGAAUCCUGUUGCGGGGGUAGGCAAGGACAGGGUGGGAACAGAGCUUUCCAGUGAAUUUCUUUAUAUUUCAUUUUGGUUGUUGAAACAUGUACAUAUAUUACCUAUUCAAAAAGUUAAAUUAAGGUCAGGUGCAGUGGCUCAUGCCCGUAAUCCCAGUACUUUGGGAGGUUGAGGUAGGAGGAUCACUUUACCCCAGGAGUUGGAGACCAGCCUGGGCAAUAUAGUGAGACCUCCUUUCUACAAAAAGUUUACAAAUUAGCCAUAAGCCAG